AGUGCCCUACGGGACGCAGCAGUGGGGAAUAUUGCACAAUGGGGGAAACCCUGAUGCAGCGACGCCGCGUGAGCGAUGAAGUAUUUCGGUAUGUAAAGCUCUAUCAGCAGGGAAGAAAAUGACGGUACCUGACUAAGAAGCCCCGGCUAACUACGUGCCAGCAGCCGCGGUAAUACGUAGGGGGCAAGCGUUAUCCGGAUUUACUGGGUGUAAAGGGAGCGUAGACGGUCCUGCAAGCCAGAUGUGCAAGCCCGGGGCUCAACCCCGGGACUGCAUUUGCACCUGU
rnacentral:rRNA from 1 species